AGAUCAAAUCAGAUCACAAACGUCUUGAACCAUUAAAAUCACAGAAACAUGCAGGGAACGAGAGCGACAACUGUAUUUACAUUUUAAUUAUUCGCGAAUACCCAAAGCUUGUGCCCAACUUGUUUGGAAACAAAAUCGUGGCUCAAUGGAAUUUCCAAUUACGACUGCAAUGUUAGAGUAUCUGCAUUAGCUAAUCAACGUUGCUUGUCAUAAUCACGAAGCUGUAUAUAGUUAUAUGUAUUUGUUUAACCUGGAGAAAUGAAGGAAAUACGGCUUUCCAAAGCAUUGCAUGGACGUUCUUACUUGAAGGGUGUGGCAUUGGGAAGUUAAUCGCGUCUUUAGAUUGGUGUAUUCACCAGUUUACCUGACAUAUAUUGAUAAGGGACCUGGUUUAUCAAUGUAAAAACCUAUUUCAACACUUGCUAAUUCAAUUAAUAAGGUAAAUAUUCUAGAUAAAAGGUAAUAGUACCCAACUGAAUUUGCCAGCAUACAGUAGUAGGCCUAUAAAUAAUUUAUGAAUCAUUUAAUGUAUAAAAAGAAAUAAUGUGGAGGGGGUGUUUUCAAACAGUGAGUCUCUCUUUAGAGACCUCAUGCACUCCAAAUAGACACAACCAAUACAAAGCAAUACAGCGAGGUGCAUGCAUUUUGAUGCCUUACGAUAGUAUUCUGAAAUCAGAGCGAAGUCGUACACGGCAUUCACUCGCCAUCAUUGUUUUUAGAGACUUCUGAGCGACAGAGCAGCGCAGCUCUCCAGAAAUAGCCUUCGCGUCUAGUCAUGCAAUAGGCUACGUGGUGAAUGUUCUACAGGUUCCGCAGCAGGAUGCCACGCUUGAUUACAAAGAGCAGAGUCCAAACUUGGAUGCAGAAAUCUGACCAUGGCUGCUGUCCUUCCUCUAUCCAAAUCUGAGUGAACAGAAGCUGGCAAGGAGAGAAUCCUCCAUGAUGAUGCAGAGACUGGAGAAAUACACAGUGCAUAAGCUGAGUCAUUUUACACUUCUAACAGCUAGACUAAAAGACUGCAGUGACUCAUACAAUCCAAAUAGGUUUGUUCCUGGUUCAUCCUGUUUCAGUACAUGUCACAGUAAAAUCUGAGAAUCAAAGAUUCAUUGGCAUUUUUUUUUUGUUGUCCUGGCAAGACUUUCAUGAAAUGUGAAACUGUUUAUAGAAAGCCAUCAUUAAAUGAAUAACUGAAUUGUAUUGGAAUAAAAUGUCAAUAAAAUAAUUUGAGACCAUU